rnacentral:rRNA from 1 species
AAAACUUUCAACAACGGAUCUCUUGGUUCUGGCAUCGAUGAAGAACGCAGCGAAAUGCGAUAAGUAAUGUGAAUUGCAGAAUUCAGUGAAUCAUCGAAUCUUUGAACGCACAUUGCGCCCCUUGGUAUUCCGAAGGGCAUGCCUGUUCGAGCGUCAUU